CUAGUCUCCUAUUAUAUGUAUGAUAUAAAUUAUGGUAGGUACAAGGUAUAGUUAAUAGUAGCAUACAAUUAACAGAGUUAAAAUUUUAACUAGUAUAUAAAAAAAUUGUUUGUAUUAUAAAUUAAAAAGCAAAUAAAAGAAAAAUAGCAAACAUAAUAAAACAAGAUCUGAUACUGCGGACGGUUGCGCCUACUGUAGGUGGGCAGUGGGAAAUGCGGAAUACAUGGAAUUAUUUAAUUUAUACCCGUGACCAAUGAUAAACCAUUGACAAUGAAAAAUAAUUUGGAGCGAAGUUCGGUUAUACAUAUUUUGAAAGGCA